CGGACGGGUGAGUAACACGUGGAUAACCUACCUAUAAGACUGGGAUAACUACGGGAAACCGGAGCUAAUACCGGAUAAUAUAUUGAACCGCAUGGUUCAAUAGUGAAAGACGGUUUUGCUGUCACUUAUAGAUGGAUCCGCGCCGCAUUAGCUAGUUGGUAAGGUAACGGACUACCAAGGCAACGAUGCGUAGCCGACCUGAGAGGGUGAUCGGCCACACUGGAACUGAGACACGGUCCAG
rnacentral:rRNA from 1 species